rnacentral:rRNA from 1 species
GACGAACGCUGGCGGCGUGCUUAACACAUGCAAGUCGAACGGAAAGGCCCUGCUUUUGUGGGGUGCUCGAGUGGCGAACGGGUGAGUAACACGUGAGUAACCUGCCCUUGACUUUGGGAUAACUUCAGGAAACUGGGGCUAAUACCGGAUAGGAGCUCCUGCUGCAUGGUGGGGGUUGGUAAGUUUCGGCGGUUGGGGAUGGACUCGCGGCUUAUCAGCUUGUUGGUGGGGUAGUGGCUUACCAAGGCCUUGAAGGGUAGCCGGCCUGAGAGGGUGACCGGCCACAUUGGGACUGAGAUACGGCCCAGACUCCUACGGGAGGCAGGAGUGGGGAAUAUUGCACAAUGGGCGGAAGCCUGAUGCAGCAACGCCGCGUGCGGGAUGACGGCCUUCGGGUUGUAAACCGCUUUCGCCUGUGACGAAGCGUGAGUGACGGUAAUGGGUAAAGAAGCACCGGCUAACUACGUG